rnacentral:misc_RNA from 1 species
AUGUGUCAUGGCGUCCAUCUGUCAUCGUCGUAAUCUUAUGUUCUCUGACAAUUAAAGUUUAUUUUGGUCCCAAUCGUAUACAAAUACAAUAUUUACCCUGACCAACAUUAUACUUGCAUUGAUGGUAAUGCAUGCAAGGAAAAUUCCAAGACUCAGCGAUGGGUAUCAUGAAUCGUUAGAAACCCAUCAGAUCAAGAGUCUGGGGAAGUAUGCUAGUCCAACAAAUAAUGGAACUCCGGCUCGAAAAGCUGACAGCCCUAUUAGCAAGGAAGACUCCAGAAGUCCACAUUCAUAUCAUCACAAGUCCUCAUAUGCCCAGAGGCAACGAGAGAAGGAACGAGAACGUGAAAAGGAAAAAGACCGAGAGCAGCUCAAAAGUAGAGGAAAUGGUCAUGAUAACAGUGGCAAAUUAGAUAGCAAGACAAGUAGCAGUCACCACUUAACACCAAAGGCUGUCAAUGACAACCGCAAUACAAAUCAUGACAGGACCAAGCUUGAAACGUUCGGUGACUGGUCUGAGCAAAUCAGCUCUUCGGGUAAGAAGUAUUACUACAAUUGUAAGACUGAAGUAUCGCAGUGGGAAAAGCCCAAAGACUGGAUAAACCGGUGGAUAACGACUGGAGAGAAUCCGUUUGGGCCCACGACAUCUAGCAACACGCCGCUUGAGCUGCCAGAUCCAAAGAUGAAGGAAUUGAGUAGAGGCUACUCCCAUACUGAUAGGCAUGAGAAACAUUCCAGUGACAGAAGACCAGCAGAACAUUCAAGACAGCAUAGAAACAAUUCGCUAUCUCAAAACAGCGAUUCAGGCCACCGGAUGUCUCAUGCGCAUGCUCAAGCGCAGGAGGUGGAGCGAUCACGCCAACGGUGUUCAUCGGGCAACCAGGAUCCGCGCAGUUUGUCGAUGUCACCAGGCAGCACUCCGACGGAGAUGCGCGACACGUUAGCCGGUGCAGCACAUGCGGCGGUCGCGGCCCAGAUCAUCUCUCAGCUGGCCACCAGCGCCGGCAAGCACGAAAUCACAGCUCAAGAAGCUCUGCAGACGAUACAGCAGGCUCUACUGUUCUCACAGCAAACAAGUGGUGCACAUACUUCAGUAAUGUCGUCGCACCCACUGCCGUCUCAGAGUGUCUCGCACAUCUCGCCUCGACCAGCUGGCGCCCCACCUCCAGUACACAUGAUACCUCUGCCCACAGGUGACCCGGGAGAGGAUGAUGCCUACAGAAGCCCAUCCGAAGCUAGCCGAGGGACAUCUGGGCCAAUCGAUUCAGCGAAGAAGCCAAUGGGUACGGCAACCUACAGUGCACGCAGGUGUCAGCUGAGCUGAAGUCGGCGCGAUCCAUGGUGCGAGUGCAGGAAAUUAUGUCAACUCUGCAGGAGCAAAGAGUUUUAUUUUUACGAGAGCAGAUAGCAGACAACGAGGAGUCAAAAAAUAAGAAUUCCUUCAUGUAGCAUAGCCCAGUUCUUUGUAC